AUUGCGGCAAACGGACACGUCUCUUUGUUCGUAAAGGGCACACACAUUGUGGAUUUAUACGUCACCGAUGCAAGACACUUGAUCGCCAUCAAUCGGUAAAAAUUAAUAUAGUGUAUUGUGUUUCACAUCGGCGCUGACGUUCCGUAUCGUAAGCUUGCCCUUCGACCGAUACCCCCUCCCAGGCCCUCUCAGAUUUCACGGUUCAGGUCUGGACUGAUUCAGUAUACUGGGAGAAGAGCCUAAGAGUCAGUCUCCGGCUAAAAAACCUUGUCAGGUCGAUCGGAGUCGUUGAAUGUGGAAAAACGACUACUUACCAUGUAUUUUUCUAACAAAGACAAUAUACGCCAAACGAAAAUGUGAUCUCAAUCCUAGCUGGCGAUUAGGCCUCUAGAUAAUCGCUCCCUAUUCAGCUUAGAUCUACAUAAGCAUGAAUUUUUUAAUGAGCGGUUAGCCGUGAUGUACCAACACGGUUCUCUUGCGAGUACCGUCAUAGCCCAUACAACUGAUGCAUAAUCACACAUAUCCCAUCUGAUGAUUGGUCGGGAUAUCGUCGGAGCGCCAAGCCCCAUGAAGAAUUUCCGAAGAGUCGAUAAACCAUACUGUCCCAGUAAUUCAUUACUGUUAGUUUGGACAAAUACGAGAUCCCGCGUGUUAACUGGAUUAAAUGUUUCGAGACCAAGACUCGAGAAGUUUUCUGAAAAACGGAACCAUAGGCGCUAGCUGAGUCGCAAUCUCCUCCCGUUCAGUCCACAUCAGAUGCCUCUUCGUCUAAGAGAAACUGUAGUUCAUGUGAAGGCGAUGAACCGUGAACGGUGCACUUCCCAAAGUUCGAAGAUGUUAAAAAAAAUGAGGACUCAUCCAGUUGAUAUACACGACAAAGGGUUCCGUCGUCGACCAUAAUCACGACAAAAAAGCCAAACUUUACACGAAGAAACGCGGCCGAUUAAAAAUGCACGUUUGUCAUAAAUGAUAUGCUUAAAAAUAACCAAAAGCCCACAUGUAUGCAAUCUGUUAAUAUAUCAGCUCACCAUAUGAUUAUAUUUGACCAGCGUAAACAUACUUCCAUUCUAUACCUGAAACAUAUUUAAAAACGCCUCACCGCGCCAUGAGCGACUGGCUCUUAAACCACGGCGGUUAAUAACGGAAAGUGUCUCUUAAUUGUAAGACUGGCAUUGUCAACCUGGGAUUCCUGGUAAUCACGUGCACCUGGGGCUAUGCCUUCAUGAUAAUACCAAAGCGCGUACUCACCUGAAAUUCAUAGAAAAAACCGAUAUUGGAAUGAGAAGUCACAGUAUUAACGUUUCAGUUAGACUGCUUUGGAUGUACACUGUUGUGUAUAAGGAUACUUUUAUAGAGAUGUAAAUGAUCUCAGACAGUCGAAAAUUCGCAAUGCUGGUCAGUCACUAGCCAAUGCGGCAAGAUCCAGGGUCAGGAUCUGCUUAUCUACUUAACUAGUCGUCCGAUCCUGUCUAACUCGACGGCUGCAACGUAAGAGGUCCCUUGAGGCCCUUGGCUUCACUGUACCUAAUAUCGUUUGCUGAGGUCCCUGCCGCCUAAGAUUAAUCAGAAGUAUAGAAACGCUUGCGUCGAAAUGACUAUUAUAUUAUAUAAUCGUGUUCGACAAAACAAUGGAGCAAAUACGUACCGUAUCCCAGCUAGACCAAACCCAGAGAGUGGAGUUUGUGCGGGUAGAAUGUAUUACCCGGGGCUGAUAAUUUUGCCAUACCCAGUUGCGUACGCACGCAAUGUAUUAAUGGAUUUGAACAAACCCAUUUAUAGCUACCCUACUAUAUUUCCAUACCAAAAGGAUUAGGUCAAAAUACUUGACUGGUUACGAUUGCUGGAUAAAGCGUACUUCUUAUCCGUUCGCUGU